rnacentral:RNase_P_RNA from 1 species
CCAGAGGGCCGGGCGACCGCGGGUGGGGGUGACCUCGCGCGAGGAAAGUCCGGGCUCCACGAGACAGCGGUGCCGGGUAACGCCCGGCGGGGGCGACCCCAGGGAAAGUGCCACAGAGAGCAGACGGCGACGGUUUCGACCACGCCACGGUGAAAGGGUGCGGCAAGAGCGCACCGCGCGCCCGGUAACGGGGGCGGCACGGCAAACCCCACCGGGAGCAAGACCGAAUAGGGGCGGCGCAUGGGCCUUGUCUCGGCCCGUCGCCCGGGUUGGUUGCUUGAGCGCGUCGGCAACGGCGCGCCUAGAGGAAUGGUCGCCCAGUCCCGUUCGCGGGACGGACAGAACCCGGCUUAUAGGCCCUCUGGCGAA